UGCCAGCCGCCGCGGUAAUACGUAGGUGGCAAGCGUUGUCCGGAUUUACUGGGCGUAAAGAGUGUGUAGGCGGAUAAUUAAGUCAGGUGUGAAAUCCCGGGGCUCAACCCCGGAGGUGCAUUUGAUACUGGUUAUCUAGAGUGCGGGAGAGGAGAGUGGAAUUCCUAGUGUAGCGGUGAAAUGCGUAGAGAUUAGGAAGAACACCAGUGGCGAAGGCGACUCUCUGGACCGUAACUGACGCUGAGACACGAAAGCGUGGGGAGCAAACAGGAUUAGAUA
rnacentral:rRNA from 1 species